GCUACGGUGGUGUAGUGGUUAGUAUAUCUGCCUAAUAAGCAGGAGACGUGGGAUCAAGUCCCGUCUGUAGCA